rnacentral:rRNA from 1 species
UUCCGUUGAUCCUGCGGAAGAUUGCUGCUAUGAGAGUUCGAUUAAGCCAUGCAAGUCAGAGGGCCGCAAGGCACAGGCUGAAUGCUCAGUAACACGUCAAUAAUCUGCCCUUGAGUCUGGGACAACCUUGGGAAACUGAGGCUAAACCCGGAUAGGGAAUUGAUACUGGAAUGUUCUUUUCCUGAAAAGUAAUGCUCAAGGAUGAGUUGGCGGCUGAUUAGGCUGUAGGCAGUGUAACGGACUACCAAACCUUUGAUCAGUACGGGCCGUGAGAGCGGUAGCCCGGAGAAGGGUACUUAGACACAGACCCUAGCCCUACGGGGUGCAGCAGGCGCGAAAACUCUACAAUGUACGGAAGUGCGAUAGGGGAACUCCCAGUGCUCAGGCUUUUGUCUGGGCUUUUGCCAAGUGUAGAUAGCUUGGCGAAUAAGUGGUGGGUAAGACGGGUGCCAGCCGCCGCGGUAACACCCGCGCCACGAGUGGCAAUCGCAAUUAUUGGGCCUAAAGCGUUCGUAGCCGGAUAAGAAAGUCUUGGGUGAAAUCGUUACGCUUAACAAAACGGCGUGCUUGAGAAACUUCUUGUCUAGGGACCGGGAGGAGUGAGGGGUAUUCCUGAGGGAGCGGUAAAAUGCUAUAAUCUCAGGAGGACCACCUGUGGCGAAGGCGUCUCACUAGAACGGGUUCGACGGUGAGGAACGAAAGCUAGGGGAGCAAACGGGAUUAGAUACCCCAGUAGUCCUAGCCGUAAACGCUGUGAACUAGAUGUUGCUUAUCCUUCGGGGAUGGGCAGUGUCGGCGCGAAGGUAUUAAGUUCACCGCCUGGGAAGUACGGUCGCAAGGCUGAAACUUAAAGGAAUUGGCGGGAGAGCACCACAAGGGGUGCGGCGUGCGGUUCAAUCUAACUCAACGCAGAGAAUCUCACCAGCAGCGACGGCAGAAUGAAGGUCAGAUUAAAUGUCUUACCUGACGAGCCGAGAGGUAGUGCAUGGCCGUCGUCAGCUCGUGCCGUAAGGUGUCCUCUUAAGUGAGGUAACGAGCGAGACCCAUACCUAUACUUGCUAACAGGUUUUUCGAAAUGACUGAGCACAGUAUAGGGACUGCCUUGGAAACAAGGAGGAAGGUGUGGGCAACGGUAGGUCUGUAUGCUCCGAAUCUGCUGGGCUACACGCGCGCAACAAUGGCCAGGACAAUUGGAUGCAACGCUGAAAAGCGAAGCUAAACCUCGAAACCUAGUCUUAGUUUAGAUUGAGGAUUGUAAUUCAUCCUCAUGACAACGGAAUCCCUAGUAAUCGGACCUCAUCACAGUCCGGUGAAUAUGUCCCUGCUCUUUGCACACACCGCCCGUCAAACCAACCGAGUUGGGUCUAGGUGAGAUGUAGCUUUCAGUUGCUUCGAAUCUAGGUUCGGUGAGGUGGGUUAAGUCGUCACAAGGUA